AGAAAAAUAGAUCUUAAAAAAAAAAGCCUAUAGUGUGACAGUGAAGUCUGACAUGACUACUGUAAUUUCUGCUCAUGCAACUAAGUUAUAGACUUUUAUAAAUCUCAUUACGGAGUUGCGGAGCUCAGCUAACAGUUUGAUGACUAGAUUGUACUGCUGUCAGUUCAUUGGUGUGUGAGCAUUCUCAUUAAAAUCACUGGGAGCAAAUAAGCUAAAAAGUAAAGCACUUAGGAGUAGCAGAGUCUGUCUUUUCAUUGAGAUGAAUAGGAAUUCUUCCUGGGCAACAACUCCGGGAUUUGCUCUGGUCACAUGGGUCACUUAAAUGGAAAUGAAGUCAUACAGGCAGUAUGUUAACUUCUCUGCAGAGUGAAAUACAGAGUUAAGUAUUGGACAGUGCAGGAAGAAACAUUUGUUUCAUGUAAAUAAAUUCUUAUAGAUGGCCAACUACUAAAAUGAGUAGUAUAAAGCAAGAAAAGUUUAGGAGUUUCUUGGUAAACACUAUCUGUGCAAUACUGUGUCAAACUCUGUUCAAAAUGUGAGUAGUUUAACUUUAUUUGAUUAUUUCCUUUCUCAGAAGCUACUGUUGUAUACUGAAAUUCAUUUUCUUUUCAGAUUGGAACACAGUCUGUGUGAUCACACUUAUAACUCUUUAAAUGUUCAAAUGUUAAGGACCAGCUUACAACUACCUGGGCUGUAGAGUUCUACAGUUUUAAAUCUGGGCUGAUGGGUUUUUUUUCUCCAAAGACAGCUUGUCUAAUUCCACUUUCAUUUCUGCCUAGUACAAGGACCUGGAGUACCGCUUCUGCCAAUUUCUGUGCAACAACCACAUCACUCUUAUCUCCUCACUGUUUCCUCCUUCUUAAACAGGAAAAAUGUGGAAGUAAACUAAAGCCUUUUGCACAAAGGAAGGAAUCAAAGUUGAAAUUCAUACUGGGACAAUUCCAUGAGACAGGCUUAAAUGAGGCAGGAAUAAGAAAUUCAUAAAGCCACGUUACCUUCACUGUAUGCCUCAGCAUUUUGUGAUUAUUGCAACUAUCAACGAAGCUGCACAGACACAAUCAACAUAGUGCAAGGUGAAAGGCUUAAGUCUGUUUUAGUCAGUGCCUGUCACUGUGACCAGAAUCCCAAACUGUUGCAAGCCCACCAAUGUAUCUGAAGUACUGUAAAGCAUUAGGAGCAGGGCCAUGGUACAUCUGGCCUGCUAUAAAACACUCUGAAUAUGGAAUAGUGAGUGGAUGAAUGGAAAAGAGGAUUGUCCUCCCUUGCCUUGACAUCCUGAAUGUAAAAGAAAAAACAGAACUGGCAUUCAGCUUCUGCAUUUAUCCUUCCCCCCCUCCCUUCUGUGAGAAAUUGUGCUGUGAAUAACUAAUAACACGGACAUGUGCAAAUCUGAGUAGUAUGAAGCAUGUCGGUAUGAAUCCUGAUGACCUUUUCUGUGUUUAAAUAGCUUUUAUGAAAUAUAUUGCCAUUGACUUUAAAUGCUUAUGUAAAAUGUGAGCAAAAGAGUAGGUUAGGAUUUAGUGCUCACUUGAUAUUUCUUGAGGAUAAAUUGUUCUCCUGGCAAGUAACUAAAUAAAAUUUGAAUCUGUUGAUUGUUUUAUUGCUAAAAUAACAUUAUAAAUAUUGUCCCAAGGAAGACUUGUAGAAAAUACUGCUUAGUACCAGUAUUUUUCCUUUCCAGAAAUAUUUGUGAUCUCUUUAUUAAAAAAAUCAUAUGUAUUGUUUACAAAAUAUAAAGAUGGAAAUGAAGCAGGUAAAAAUAGAGAUUGGCUAAACCCUAAAAACAAAGCAGAGAGAAAGCUGGGUAGGGUCACAUCUCACAGAACAAGGUAAUACUAUGACUAUUCUCCCAAAUCUCAAACAGAAAAAACACUUUGAAGAAAGCAAAUAAUCAACAACUUCAAGAUAUAUCUAACCCAAUGAGGCUGUCCUAAAUGAUGUGUUGUUUAAGCCUAAACCAAAUCCUUUCCACGGAAUUAUGGGAUGGGAGAUAGAACAACAAUUCCAUGUACAUAAAUUAUCCAUAUAUCAAUAUAUGGAAAUAUAUUCAAUAUAUAUUUGUAUAUUAAUACUGAUAUAUGAAAACUAGUAUACAGAGGUUUUCUUACAGUAAGCUUGGUACCUGACAUCUCAGUGCAAGUCUGCAUGGAAUGACUCAGUUCAUUUUAAUGCAGAAUAUGUUGCUUAGGGGACAUAAACAGCAAAGGCAGUUAUUUACCUCUACUGCAUAUCCAGAGGUAUAUUUGUCAAAAUGUUUCCAAAGAGCUCAUGUGCAUCCCCCUGUGCAGCCAAAAUAUCUACUAGCCUAAGAAGAAACAAAACCAUUCUGAAAGGUAUCUGGAGAAGGAAAUGAGACGAAGUAAAAGCAAAGUAAAAAUUGGCUUGCCUAUCUAGCUGACAGAUACUUCAAGUUUCUGUGCUGAGUAUAAAGCUGAAUUCUCUCCAGAUUAAAAAUUUAUUCAGUCACUAAGUACAGCUGGAACAGCCAUUUUGAGAUACCUGGUUUUCAUUUUGCCAAUCUCUUCUAACUUUGUACUACCUUGCCAAAGUCUUGAACUUAUAUUUAUACCACAAAUAAUAUUUCUGCUCUACAAAUCAUGUCACUGAACAUCAAAGUACCUAAUCUGAGCAAAGAAGUGCCAUGAAGAUGGAAUGUACAUGUCCCAAAUUCUGGGCUUGAACAGGAGCAAUGUAGAAUGCUUAGGGUU